ACGGCUCAGUAACACGUAGCUAACCUGCCCUUAAGUCAAGGAUAACCUCGGGAAACUGAGGAUAAUACUUGAUAGGAGAUAUACCCUGGAAAGAUUUAUCUCAUAAAUUCGAGCUUAAGGAUGGGGCUGCGGCGGAUUAGGUUGUUGGCGGGGUAAUAGCCCACCAAGCCGAUGAUCCGUAAGGGCUCUUAGCGGAGAGGCCCUGAGAGGGAAUCUGAGACACUAUUCCCAGCCCUACGGGGUGCAGCAGGUAGGAAUCUUUUGCAAUGCGCGCAAGCGUGACAAAGCGAGCCAAAGUGCUUUUCAAUUGAAAAGCUUUUGCCAAAUCUAAAAAGUUUGGCGAAUAAGGACUGGGUAAGACUAGUGUCAGCCGCCGCGGUAAUCCUAGCGGUCCAAGUCGCAGCCAUCAUUAUUGGGUCUAAAACAUCCGUAGCUUGCUUAAUAAGUUCCCUGUGAAAUCUUGUCUCUUAAGGACGAGGCGUGCAGGGAGUACUGUUAAGCUAGAGACUGGGAGACGUAAGAAGUAUGUCCGAAGUAGCGGUUAAAUGUGUUAAUCUCGGACAGACUAAUAACAGCGAAGGCAUCUUACGAGAACAGUUCUGACAGUGAGGGAUGAAGGCCAGGGGCGCAAAAUGGAUUAGAUACCCAUGUAGUCCUGGCAGUAAACACUGCACACUAAACAUCAGUUCCUCCUCGAGAGGCAUUGGUGCUGUAGGGAAGCCGAAGAGUGUGCUACCUGGGAAGUAUAGUCGCAAGACCGAAACUUAAAGGAAUUGGCGGGGGAGCAC
rnacentral:rRNA from 1 species